CGUUUUCUGCGGGGCAAAGGCUGUGACGCCUCUAUAUGCUGCAGGUAGCUGCACCCUGACCUCCGCUUGUGUGCGGGUCCUCCCUAUUGUGUCGUGUUGCCAUGAUUCAUCUAAAAUUGUGGGAAUUGGAGCUCAUAAAUAUUAAGGUAGCAAUGAGUUCAUUUAAGGCUGAUUGACAAGAGCUUACGACUCUGAAUGAGGAAGAAAAUUUUAAAAAUGAAAACAAUUACAAUAAUCAAACAUUAAAAUGCAUAGUGGCCAAGACUAAAUUACCCAUCAAGAAACAGACACACACUUAAAUUUGAACUACUUUCCAGUGACAAAAAAUAUUAAGGUCUGUCAACUCUGAAGCACUGACAAGAACCAAUGAGAUGCUUGAAUGUGGAGUAAGUAAAACUAGGCAACCCAAGAACAAAAAUGGAUAAAGAAGAAAUGAGUAUAUUUGCCCAAUACUUAGGAUAAGCCUUUACAGGAAAUAAUCUGAUAAAUAUAUGUGCAAUAUUCCUCAUAGAUACAACAGUGACCAGUGUUUGUGGAAUUACGAUGUAAUUCCGGCCAUAACUUGCUGAGA